rnacentral:rRNA from 1 species
AGGACGAACGCUGGCGGCGUGCUUAACACAUGCAAGUCGAACGGAAAGGCCCUGCUUUUGUGGGGUGCUCGAGUGGCGAACGGGUGAGUAACACGUGAGUAACCUGCCCUUGACUUUGGGAUAACUUCAGGAAACUGGGGCUAAUACCGGAUAGGGGCUCCUGCUGCAUGGUGGGGGUUGGAAAGUUUCGGCGGUUGGGGAUGGACUCGCGGCUUAUCAGCUUGGUUGGUGGGGGUAGUGGCUUACCAAGGCUUUGACGGGUAGCCGGCCUGACGAGGGUGACCGGCCACAUUGGGACUGAGAUACGGCCCAGACUCCGUACGGGAGGCAGGCAGGUGGGGAAUAGUUGCACAAGUGGGCGGUAAGCCUAGAUGACAGCAACGGCCGCGUGCGGGAUCGGACGGUCCGUUCGGGUUCGUAAACCGUCGUUUACGCCGUAGU